ensembl:lncRNA
GGAAGGGUUAGUUCAUGACCGGUGUGGGGUGAUUCUGUGGUCGGGAAUUUUUAAGAUUGGGCUGUUAGGUCAAGGGGAAAAUGAGGCCUCCUAGCCCUCUCCUGAUCCUGCUGUAUGUCACCCUGUCCCGUGCCAUGAAGACAGUCUCCAAGAGAGGCUCAGGGCUUACAACCAUGCUGACAACCAUCCGUGGAGAUCAGUGGAUAAAGGGCUGUACAACGGGCCGCACCGAAAAAAACGCAUGGUUGCCAAGAAAGCGAUUAGCCACUGUAAUCGAUGGGGGCUCAGGGCCGUACCAUUCUGCUCAUCUGAUGAAGUUGCUCAUGGGUGAGAUUCACACUUUGAAGACUGAGAUUGAGUCAUUGAAGGCAGACCAUCAGAAAGAGAAACAUUAUCUGAGGGCAGAGAUACAGGCGACAGCUGAUGCAUUGGUCCAGAGCCAGGUAGUAUUGUCAGAGAGUCACUCCUCAUUAGCGGAGAGUCAGGCGGAGAUGUGUAACCGAAGAGAGAUACCACGAGUAGGCAGAGAAUUCAAACUGGGAUGGAUCCCGAGGCAAAUGUAGCUUACCAGUGAACCUCCGGGUGUUCAUCAUUAAUACUGUGUCUCAGAAGUUUCCGUACAUGACUGAUGCAACCCGAAAAAGCAUUAAAGACAGAGUUAAUGAGUACCUGAGGUCACCGAGAAAGUCUGGACAUGACCUACACUCCCUUAUGUAAGGAAUUAGGCUCUUUCCCAUUACUACAGAAUGUACUGUAUGCUAUGUUUCGUUAAUAAAAUAAUGAUAAAAA